UAAUCACAUGUGAGAUGAUGAAUUUGGACGCCGGCCGUGUGUCAGCUCGUUUCCUUUCAUGUUUUCAGAUUGUUUGUGUUUAACGUGGAUGAUGAAUUUAUCUUCAGACGACUCCAAUAUGACUAAUUAACUCUGAUCUAUAGUAACCAGAUGUUCAGCUGACGGCAGCCAAACUCUCUCUCUCUGUCUCUCCCUCUCUCCCUCUCUCUCUCUCACUCUCUCUCUCUCUCUCUCUCUCUCUCUCUCUCUCUCUCUCUCUCUCUCUCUCUCUCUCUCUCUCUGUUUUAAAUGUGUGCACAUUAAAGUCAGCGCUACGUGUCCAUGCUGAGCUUUACAUCCUGCUCUGCAUUUUACAUCAUAACAUUUACAUCUAAUAACAUCACCUAAUGCACCUUAUGUGCGGUAUGGGAAUACUUAUAAUGUGCAAUCUGCUCGUAACGCGUAAUAAAUAUUUAACUCACACACUGUAAUAGAGACAAUUUGCAUAUAAUUACAUAAACACACACACACACACACACACACACACACACUGAUAUUAAACAGACUCGAAAGUUCAUCUCUAUCUAAUUUAUUAGUAGUUUAUCCCACAGCGCUGCUGAAUCCUGGAUCCUGAUUGGUCAGAAGGUGUCGAUUAGUUUUCUAGAACAGCAGCUCGUUCUGACACGUUAUCGUCGCUAUAGCAACAGCUCAUUCAGAAGGACUUGUACAGCGGACGCUCCACGUACAUUAAAUGGAGCAUAAUCAUCGAUGUGCUGGUUUUCUGUAAGGACAUGUUUAUAUGACGUUUUUUGGAAGGAGUCUCCAGUGUCAGCGCUUCGGAACAGACAGAGGUAAAGCCGUAACUUUACGUUUUCCGACAUCUUCAGGACAGAGGAGUUUACGCUUUGCGGUUUCUCGGUAACAGGAGGUAACAGCCGCUGUGACAUACGAAGUUGUCAUUCAGAAUCCGCAUCAUUAGACAGGGUUAAACCCAGGCCAGUGAGAGGAGGGCUGUAAAACCGCUCCUCCGUCUCCACCAUCACUGCUCUGUACGCUCCCUUGGCACGAGCGCACCGCGUUCCCGUAUUGCCAACGCGUCUGCAUCGUAAACACGCCGUCAAAGCCUCAGUCGAAUGAAACGAUUCAAGAGAAACUCUGGAAUGAAAUGAACUCUACGUCCUGCGUUUUCACCGAACACCACACACUGCGAGCGUUAAAGGGCCAAUCGGUGACAUUUACAACCGAAGAUUGCUUUGUAGGCCUUUAAUAAAGUCAGUUCUACCAGAACGCUGGUAUUAAUGCGCUCGUUCCGAUACGUUAUGGUUUCUAUAGUAACAGCUUGUUCACUGGGGCGUGUACGGCGACUGCUCACCGUCGACGGAUUAUAAAAAUGUACUGAAAUGAUUAUUCUGUGUACAUUUAGGGAAGGAGUCUCCAGUGUCAGCGCUUUAUAACAGUCAGAAGUAAAGCUGUUUUCCGUCGUCUUCAGGACGGAGGAGUUUACGGUUCUUCGCAGUUUCUCGGUAGCAAGACAAACUGCCUUUAUUUUCUGUCUUAUUAACUUGAAGAGAGGGAAUAAAGAGAGGGCUGGUGACGGGGGGGACGACUGUUUAUAGCUGCUAUAAUGUAAGUGAGAAAGGGAACUAACUCGUUUGGCCGACGUUCUACAUCUACAACGUUAAAUGUAACUAUAACCAUCAGUUAACUGAAAAACCGUUAGCGUUGGCAAAUCAUUGUGGUAUAAGAGGAAUAACACACUUUGGGACAUGCUGUUAAAGGAAAACAAUCAUCUUACAGUAACAUAACACCACACACACACUGUAGAUUAUUUUCCUCUAACUGCACGUCCCGAGUGUGUUUACUUCCUUCCUGACGCUACAUAGCGCUGGACAUUGAAACAUCUGCGAUCACUGCGUUUGACGAACCGGUGAUCUGCAUUAUUUCUAGCUCCGCCCACGUCACUGUUUCUCAGCAAUGGAAAUCGGAGCAAAAUUUUGGUCCGUGGAUUUCUUAGUGUGUCUGGUGGAAAAGUGCAAAUGUCUGUGUAUAAACACAUCAUCAGUAUAUCGGACUUUAUCUAAACCCUCUGUCUGCUUCUUUCACGUUUAUUAAUCGUUUUAUUUCUACAUCCCGAGCGUUUUUCGGACCAGUCCUGUAACCGGCAUCAUUUGCUUCCAGAAAUCUAACAAAAAUGCGGAGGGAGGAGCCUGAGAGGAGAGAGUGGGCGGGGCUAAACCAGGAAGAAGAAGACCCGGGGUCAGAAGGAGGUCUUAUUUGUACUGCGGAGUGAAAAGUUCAGAGGAGUCUGGGUGUGUAAUGGUGCUAGGGCCAUCCAUUUCAACAUCUAAAACAUCCCCUCCCUCCUGUCAUCUAAAUACACACACCAACACCAACCCACCGGCCAAUUUGCUUGAUUUAUGAGGGGGUGGGAAUGUGGGUGGGGCAUCGGCCUUAUAGGAAAUUCCUCCUCUUCAGUGGAUGAUGGGGUCACGGGGUCAAACCCAAUCCCCCAUCGCCGCACUGCUGACUAGAUCACAUUUUCAAAAAGUCACUUGUUAAUGUUUAAAGGCGGCGCUAGUCGACAGUCCGAUUUCUAUCUUGUAGUAUUUUGCUGUAGAAGUGUUUUAUAGUGAUGUACAACAGGUUUGAAAAUAAAUAUCACUGAGAACAGAAACGCUCGAUGAAAUAGCUGUUUUUCUUUCGUUCUUUCUUUUAAAAAAAAAAAAAAACAAUUAACCCCCAAUUGAAACCUUGGAAUUAUACAUUUCUAUUGGACAACUCUGUGAUUUGAAGCGAGCAUAAAGUGCUUUUCAACAGCUAAGCAAUGUUUUGGUGAAAAACCUCACAGUUAAGCAUGUGUGUCCUUACAGAAACCCGAUUACAUCAACGAUGACUUGUUUUUUUAAUCCGGUUAAGUGGAGCGUUUACAGUACGGGUCCCCGUGUACGGUGCUCAGCUACGUACUUUAGCCUCAAAGCUCCAAAAAGCAAUCUUCAGACACAUUUACUUCAUAUACAGACACGGUACUUGAUUAAACCUGUAACACUGAUCAUAUUAAUCACCGAUUAGAGAAGCUAAUCAUCAACAUUAGAGCUUGUUGCUAAGCUACUGGCUAAUGUCCGCGUCGCUGCGUGUUUCAGUCCACAGCGCUGUGUGAAUGUUUGAAAGUCACUACAGCAGAACAAAACCAGCACUCAGGCCUGUAACUGUAAAAGUGCACUUGAAGUAGCUUUUCAUGAACUUUACGUGCUCUGUCCAUGUUUUUUUUCUUUCCACUCCACAUGUCGAACAUGACAUGGGGGGAAAUGAUGUUAUUGCAGCUUGCAAAUGAUCACUUACAAGGCUACGUGCGCAGCAGUAACCAUUACCCUGAUACAAAAGUAAUUCCUCAUAAAAUAUUAAAGUAAAACUUUCUUU